rnacentral:rRNA from 1 species
CAGCCGCCGCGGGAAAACGGAGGGUGCAAGCGUUAUCCGGAUUUAUUGGGUUUAAAGGGUCCGUAGGCGGAUCUGUAAGUCAGUGGUGAAAUCUCACAGCUUAACUGUGAAACUGCCAUUGAUACUGCAGGUCUUGAGUAAAUUUGAAGUGGCUGGAAUAAGUAGUGUAGCGGUGAAAUGCAUAGAUAUUACUUAGAACACCAAUUGCGAAGGCAGGUUACCAAGAUAUAACUGACGCUGAGGGACGAAAGCGUGGGUAGCGAACAGGAUUAGAUACCCGAGUAGUCCCUGUCUCUUAUAC